rnacentral:lncRNA from 1 species
GCAAAAUCCAAAAAGCUUAAGGCAUGGGCAAACAUCUAUAGACAUUUUUUUAUGGUAUUCAUCUGACUGGGAAAUCUUACACAACUCUAAGUACUCUCUUUCCUGUCAAGUCUUCAAAAGGUCGUCUUCGCAAAUCUCACAGUACAUCAAGCCCAGCUGUUGUGUGGCUCUUCACUUCAGUCUCCUUCUGCUCACCUCAUCCCAACCUACUGGGUAAGUGUGACUGUGUCCUUCUCCAAGGUGCAGUAACAAGGUACCCAAUA